AUGCCAGUGAAACGAGAAUGGGGGGUUCCUCUUCCUCUCUGUUCCAAACAAACACAAACCCUAGCCCUUCUAUUCUUCACCUGCGGAAGCUCUACUCCCUCUCGCUCUAUCCCAUUGUUCUUCUUCUUCCCUGUCCCCACAGAAAAGAGUGAAACCCUAACCUCAAAACCCAGCGGCGGCGCGUUUGUGAGCGGCGGUGAUGGUGAUGUUGCAGUUAUGAGGUGGUUUGCGCAAAGAGGGAGGCGCGAUUCUGGCGGUUGGCGUAGCGCAACUUCGGUUUACAAAGGCGGACGACGAUUCUAG